CACUGAGAAGCUUUUAUAGCAUCAGCCUUUUAAGUUGAAGAAGAAAUCACCCUUUCCUCAGUGA
rnacentral:tRNA from 1 species